CCAGGCCAGCGGUGCCCAGCUUUUGGAGGGCCAGCAGGAACAGCCUCCCAAAGGAACUGAGCAGGUGCCAGCUGGGGGCCAUCACCAAGGGUCUAGUUUACGUCUGGUGAUACCCCUCCUCUGCUCCUUCCAGGACAGUCAUGGGAAGUCCUCCCUCCUGCAGCGGGCAAGGCUCUUGCGCAUCCUUCAGGGCCAUCUCCAUGCUGCUCCACAUAGUGGAGAGCUUAAGGGCGACAGGAGGCCCCCAACACCCACAGCCACUGUCUUGGAGAACCGCCAGGUUGGUGCUGCUAUUACCAAUACACAAAUAUACCCUAUUUCCCAACACCCUGCCUGACAGGAGUUUGAGUCUUUGCAUCUCGCUGCCUCCAUCUAGUGGCUGUCUAGCUUUUGGCAGCCCAGACAUGGUAGCCCGAAUCGAUGCAUAACUGGGGGGAUCAAAAGGCUGUGCCAGCUUAAUGGGCUAAGCCAAAGAUCAUCCCCCAUUUCUGAAGCAAACAGGCCAGGUUGGGGUGAACACACAUCAGGAUCACUUCUCCAGCUAUGGGCAGUCAGGCUUCACUUCUAGCCCUUCCUGCCCCCACAUUUUCUGAAUGUAGUCCUCUGCAGGGGCUGUUCUGGUGAAAGAUCCAAUUUAAAAACUUUCCAUUAAUGAUCGCACAGAUUAAGUGAUUAAUGGUUCAGGCUCUGUUGAGAAUAUUGGAUUUCGUGCAUUGUGAUUCUGGACGGCUGCCAUGCAAUUCACUUGCCAUUUGCUAAUUCUGACUACGCCGUUUUUUGAGGAUGGUCGCUCACGUUUAUGUCUGGUGUUAACAGAAGAAAGAGAGGAGGAGGAGGAGGAGGAAGAAAUGAUGGGGGUGACGAUGGGGGUAAGAAGGAAAUGACCUUUUGCAGAAGAACAAGUAAUCCGCGCCAUGGAAACAUGAAAAAGAAGGAUGCGAGGAUGCGCAAAAGCGUUUCACCCAAAGAAAUUCCCCGCUGACAGUUCGGUGGGAGCCAAAAUAGCAAGCUCCCUUUGGCAUCAGAGUCACUUCUGGUGACUUCAUGGCCUAUCCAGGUCACCUGCUUGGCAACUGCUUGCCACUGCUGUCCCCUGGGCUCAGUGCUGAGUCCUCAGAGCAGAACUGGAGAGCCGCCGCUCACAUCGGGCCACAGCUACGCUUAGCCGGGUAGGAGGUGCCGUCAGAAGUCCUGAGGGGGGCCUCCUCCUUCAGGCUCCUUUCUUUAAAGCCCCAGGAGUGGGCUCUGAAGCAAGGCGCUUGGAAGCUCUCGGCGGCGAUGUGCGUGCAGAAAGGAUUUAGGGACAUGGUUGCACAGCUAUUUUUCUUGAAAAGCCUGAGUUAUUCUCAGCAACGUGUGAAGAAGAAGCAUAUCCUCUGCCUGGAAAAGGUGACAAGAGAAUCCCACUUAGAAACCACCACCGCACACACCCAGUCUCUGAGGGGCAUCAUGACACAAACACCAUAGCCUGGAAGGAGGCAGGUGUGAAGGCGCAAAGCUGCCCACAGACCGUAGCAUCUUCCAGGCUCCCUACCGCCCCUGGUCUUUGGACUGCUUUUGGAUGCUGUUAAAUGAAUCACCGAAGACGCUCUGCUGCAGAGCGAAGCCCUGGCUUCACGCAGUCAUGUUCCCGUCACAUUCCUGGAGUAAUUCUUAGACGACUUGCUCUGGAAUCGUGCAGAACACAAUCUUUCCAAACACAGUGCUGAAGCUCUGUGGGGCUGUUCAGACACCACCAUCUUGGUCUUUGACAGCUUAAUUUCCAGAUGCAUUCUCCAGCAGCCUGCCACCCACCAGUAGGCAUUCUCCAACGUGCCAGCUCAUCUGGUCUUUGUAGGAAGGGGAAACCCAAAGCCUGCGAGAAUAGAAGGAACCUCCUGGAGAAGAGCAACGCUGAAUGGCCGGAAUCCCGGACAGCCAUCUUCCGACUGGGUGACGUUUUCGUGGCAGGUCUCACAUUGCCUAAAUACACUCCAUGUUUAAACAGGACAGGGGAGUUUCAUCUGAAAUGUCUGGAAGCGACUAAACAUUUUAAAAGAGAAAAUAAUUAUAGCAUUUGGUUUUAAAAAAAAAAAACACUAGAGGGUUUUCAUUGUGCUUUGGUAGAAAAGUAUUUCAUCUCAUUGUUUGGGUUUAUUAAUAACAUCUACCAUUACAAAUGUUCUCUGAAUGGCUUUUAUUUUGUUCCUCAGACUUUCACUUCUCGAUAUUUUAGUAUGAUUACAGAGAGAAUUUGUUCCAAACAAAACGUGCAACUAUGUCUGGCAUCUUUAAUUUCUUUUAUUCCUUCUGAAAUGUAAUAGAAUGCAGGAGAGAUUGGUGCCCCUCUCCUGAUCAUCUGUCUUUCAAAGCUGAUGACCUUUGCGGUGUUCCCGUGACGCAUUUAGCCCAGUCUGAACCGACGCCAAUUAAACCUCCUUCCGGUGGCAUCACGCAGUCACGUUAACUGAGUCCAAAUUCACCAGCUGGGCAUAUUAAGUCAGCCCCCACUUUCCCCAGGUUGUCCGUGGCUGGUGCAUUUUUCAUGGCAUAUUGCUGAAAAAUUUGAGGGUCUGCUCAUCUACGGAUGGGCUUAUUCACCAAGCUCCACAUCACCUGGAUUGCGAUGACCCUUUUCGGCAUGAUUGCCCAGAUGCUGCGGAUUCAGCAACAGCAAACAUCAGCACUGAGGAAAACCAGCGAUGAACCAUUGCCCUUUUCUUUAUUUCUCCAAGCGUCCCAUCUAGUGGCUGGUCAUGGAGGUGUCUUGCAAAGCAUCAGAAAGAGAGAAUGAUGCUCCCAGAUUUCAAGUCCAGGAGGCAUGGUGGGGAUGGCAGGUCAGGGGUUGCAGCACCAUGGAGAGCUCCAGGGAAGACUGUGCUCCAAGGAAGCCUUCUGCAGCGUAUUCCCCCCUGGGGUUAUCCUGUUCCUGAACCUGACAUCCUGCUUUGCUGUCCAUCAGAUGCCACUGACCAUAGAGCCAUCAUAAUAUGUGAUAGGUUCUUAAAUGUGUUGCUGUGCCCUUUUUCCUUCUUGCAGCUCUGUUCAGAGAGGACUGUACAGCAUGCAGUGUUCAUGUUCUCGUCACUGGCCCUUGGUUUUCCAGCUGAGGAGGGUGACUCCUCACCAUGGCCCCUGUCACCUGCUGUUCAAAGUUAAUGCUAAGGGCGCCUCCACUGAACGCAACCUGUACAUGUAGAACUUCUGUCUUGGUUCUACUUUCUCAGGAAUGGAUACAUCUGCCUCAUUAUGAAUCUGAAAAGUUUGGCAACAGCUUUUACGUCUUUUAUUGUGAUUGCUGAUGUGUAAUUUAAUGAAUGGAGUGCAAAUGUGGCACUCAGGGAGAAUAUGUUUUGCUGUAUUUAACAGGUUCCUGAACUCAAACUUUGAAGUAUGUACCCAUGUGAAUCCUGUUCUUUGAUGAAAAUAUGCAGCAUAUAAAUAUUAAAUAACUGGAGGACUUAUACUUUUGCUUUUCCUAAGUAGUGACUGACUGAUCUCAUUGGUAAU